UCCUGCUGUUUUUCCUCUAGUGGAGGGAGACGUCAACUCUUGAUUUUUCCUUCACGUAGUAAAAUAAAUUCGCGCCACAAAUCCCUUAACCAAUCAUAUCGCCAGAAAGCCUAUGAUGUGACGUUUUUGAGGAAGUUUUCAUUGAUAAAAUUGGUUGGGGUAUGGCUGAGUUAUUAGACUGAACGUCAUCGGUACUGGGGUACCGAAAUUAGAGCGUGCGGUCUGCAAAGGGUUAAACGCCUGGCAAAGGAGUCAAGGACGUU